GGAUCACAGCCCCCCUCCCCCCCCGCCCCCGCCGUGCGCUUGUAUGCCUGCCAUGAAUGAGACGAGAGGUUGAGAUGGAAGAAGAGUGGAAGAGCGUAUCAGCCUUUUAAUCAUUGAACCUGCGAUUAGCUCCACUUGCGCUACUCAUCAAUGGACAUCCAAUCAGUGAUCGAGUUCUUAGGCGGGGUCCCGCUGCUGCAGAAACUUCCGAGAUCGUCCCUCCAGAAGAUCGCCGAAGCCGUCAGAGUCAGACACUACGGGGAAGGAGAGUACGUGGUCCACGAAGGAGAUGUCGGAGAAGGGUUGUAUUUCAUCUGGGAAGGGGAGGCGGAGGUCUCUGGACUUGUUGAUUCCGAGGACCCUGAUUUUCACUUGAGCAAGUAUGAUUACUUUGGUCAUGGUACUGCCACGACUGUCCACAUGGCCAAUGUGAUCGCCCUAUCAAAGCUGACCUGUUUGGUGCUACCCCUUGAGCAUUGUACUUUGCUUCAGACAAAAUCAAUUUGGAAUGCAGAUGAACAAAUUGAAAAACGGUCACUGGUGGAGCAGAUUCUACACCUUGAGCCAAUAGAGGUUAAUAUAUUCCAAGGGUUCACCUUGCCAGAUGCUCCAACAUUUGGAAAGGUCUUUGGUGGGCAGUUCAUUGCACAGGCGGCAGCUGCAGCGUCAAAAACUGUGGAUUGUCUCAAGGUUAUCCAUAGUUUGCAUGUCUAUUUUCUACUAGUGGGAGACAUCAACAUGCCAAUUGUAUAUGAGGUUCAUCGGUUGCGUGAUGGCAAAAGUUUUGCAACUAGGAGAGUAGAGGCAAUACAAAGAGGAACAGUCGUAUUCACAUUGUUUGCUUCAUUUCAGACAGAGGAAGAAGGAUUUGAUCAUCAGGUUGGAACCAUGCCAUCAGUUCCUGCUCCAGAGACGCUUCUAUCAAUGGAACAAUUACGUGAAAGGCGUCUUAUUGAUCCUCGCCUACCAAGGAGUUACCGAAACAAAGUGGCCACAACUAAAUUCAUCCCUUGGCCCAUAGAAAUACGAUUUUGUGAGCCUAGCAAUGCCACAAAUCAGACUGAGACCCCUCCAAGUGUAAGGUAUUGGUUCAGAGCAAAAGGAAAAUUAUCAGAUGACCAAGCUUUACACAGAUGUGUGGUUGCAUUUGCAUCAGAUUUGAUAUUCCUGGGCACGAGCCUGAACCCUCAUCGCAGAAAAGGCUUAAAGACAUAUUGUGUCAGCCUUGACCAUUCGUGAGUAUUUGCUCGUCUCUUUUCUGCACCAAAAUCUCUACAGAAGUAACAACCAUGAAAGAAGCUUUACCUAAUCAAACAUUAUUUGAGUUUGGAUGUGGUUCCACCGGCCCCUACGAGCUGAUGACUGGAUUUUGUUUGAUAUUCUAACCCCAACUGCACACAAUGCACGUGGCUUUGUAUCGGGUCAAAUGUUCAACAGGAACGGAGAGCUUCUUGUAACAUUAUGUCAGGAGGGCUUAAUUAGGGAGGCGAAAACAUCAAAUCCACCAUCCAGAUCGAAGCUCUGAUCCCCAUCCAGAUGGAAGCUCGGAUUCGGGAUGCACUGGGACCUCACCUAUUCUGCAUAUUAGGGGAAAAAGGUUAUUGUUAUAUAAUCUUGAGUGAUCUUUUUAAAUGUAUAUGUAUACGUGACAAAUUACUUCUCUCUAGGCUUAAGAUUAUUUUCUUGGCCAGUCGGCUUCAAAUUAGUGGGUGAACGAAUAAAUUUAGAUCCCAAUCGUUGUUUGAGAUCUUCCAUUUGACCCUUAAUCGUACAAGAGUUCUUAGUCUGCA